rnacentral:rRNA from 1 species
CGGACGGGUGAGUAACACGUGGAUAACCUACCUAUAAGACUGGGAUAACUUCGGGAAACCGUAGCUAAUACCGGAUAAUAUUUUGAACCGCAUGGUUCAAAAGUGAAAGACGGUCUUGCUGUCACUUAUAGAUGGAUCCGCGCUGCAUUAGCUAGUUGGUAAGGUAACGGCUUACCAAGGCAACGAUGUAUAGCCGACCUGAGAGGGUGAUCGGCCACACUGGAACUGAGACACGGUCCAG